CCAGAGUCCAGGCGUGGCUUGUCUGGGUCCUCUACUCACAGACCCACGAGGCUACAUCCAGGCAUCAGUUGGGCCGUAUCCUCACCAGAGGCUUAAAUGGAGAGAGAUCUGCUUCCAAGCUCCAUCAACCAAAUUAAUUUCAACAUAGAGGUGGGACUCCAGUAUAUUACAAGAUCAGAGGUUUCGCCAGGUACAUGAUUCAAAAUAAAUUUCCCAGCCUCCCUUGCAGCUGGCUAAGAGGAUAUAAAUGGAAAAGCAGCCCUCCUACUCCUGGACCAGCCUCAUGCCUGGUCUCCACCUGCCAGCUCCCUCCCGGAAGGCACCGCAGUACCCCGCCACCCGCCCUUCAAAUGACCGCCUGGCUGCAAGGUGUGAGCGACUAAGUGCGCCUUGCCUCCCCGUGUCUCCAGGAGCCCCGUGUAGCAGGCGUGGCGGUGGCAGGAACAGCAUCUCUCCUCCAUCCAUUGGGCAAACAUUUUUGGAGCCAGACGCCGUGGGGACCUUGGCGCUCGCCAGCUCCGGAAGCUCCGUACUGCCCUGGGGUGCAGCUGAGCCCGGGGCUAACUGGAAGCAGCCUGGAGGACCUUGACCGCUCACAGGGUCCUGGAAAACUACAUCUGCCAAUGUCCCAUCUCAACUCCAGAAGGGUGACUCAGGGUCCUGCAGACAGAGAAAGUCCCUUCUUAUUAAUGAGGAGGGAGGGGCGCCUGGGUGGCUUGGUCGGUUAAGCGUCCGACUUCAGCUCAGGUCACGAUCUCACGGUCCGUGAGU